AGCGGGGUAGUAAGCUUGCUUACUACUGCCGGCGACCGGCGCUCGGGUGAGUAACACGUAUGCAACCUGGCCGUCACAGAGGGAUAACCGGGAGAAAUCCCGCCUAAUACCGCAUAAUACCGGGGAAGGACAUCCUUUCCCGGUCAAAGGAGCGAUCCGGUGACGAAUGGGCAUGCGCCGCAUUAGUUAGUUGGCGGUGUAACGGACCACCAAGACGACGAUGCGUAGGGGUUCUGAGAGGAAGGUCCCCCACACUGGUACUGAGACACGGACCAGACUCCUACGGGAGGCAGCAGUGAGGAAUAUUGGUCAAUGGGCGAGAGCCUGAACCAGCCAAGUCGCGUGAGGGAAGACGGUCCUAUGGAUUGUAAACCUCUUUUGCCGGGGAGCAAAAAGCGGUACGUGUACCGCAUCGAGAGUACCCGGAGAAAAAGCAUCGGCUAACUCCGUGCCAGCAGCCGCGGUAAUACGGAGGAUGCGAGCGUUAUCCGGAUUUAUUGGGUUUAAAGGGUGCGCAGGCGGCGAGUUAAGUCAGCGGUAAAAUUUCGGGGCUCAACCCCGACAAGCCGUUGAAACUGGCUUGCUAGAGUGGGCGAGAAGUAUGCGGAAUGCGUGGUGUAGCGGUGAAAUGCAUAGAUAUCACGCAGAACUCCGAUUGCGAAGGCAGCAUACCGGCGCCCAACUGACGCUCAGGCACGAAAGCGUAGGUAUCGAACA
rnacentral:rRNA from 1 species